AGCUGAUUGGCGUAGUGGUUUGAGUGUUGGUCUAUAACUCUGGAGACCAGAGUUCAAUUCCCCACUUGGUCA